UACAGAGGGUGCAAGCGUUAAUCGGAAUUACUGGGCGUAAAGCGCGCGUAGGUGGUUUGUUAAGUUGGAUGUGAAAUCCCCGGGCUCAACCUGGGAACUGCAUUCAAAACUGUCAAGCUAGAGUAUGGUAGAGGGUGGUGGAAUUUCCUGUGUAGCGGUGAAAUGCGUAGAUAUAGGAAGGAACACCAGUGGCGAAGGCGACCACCUGGACUGAUACUGACACUGAGGUGCGAAAGCGUGGGGAGCAAACAGG
rnacentral:rRNA from 1 species